GACGAACGCUGGCGGCGUGCUUAACACAUGCAAGUCGAGCGGUAAGGCCCGUUUCGGGGGUACACGAGCGGCGAACGGGUGAGUAACACGUGGGUGACCUGCCCUUAGCUCUGGGAUAAGCCUGGGAAACUGGGUCUAAUACCGGAUAUGACUCCAUGACGCAUGUUGUGGGGUGGAAAGCCUUGUGCGGCUAGGGAUGGGCCCGCGGCCUAUCAGCUUGUUGGUGGGGUGAUGGCCUACCAAGGCGACGACGGGUAGCCGGCCUGAGAGGGCGACCGGCCACACUGGGACUGAGACACGGCCCAGACUCCUACGGGAGGCAGCAGUGGGGAAUCUUGCGCAAUGGGCGAAAGCCUGACGCAGCGACGCCGCGUGAGGGAUGACGGCCU
rnacentral:rRNA from 1 species